rnacentral:rRNA from 1 species
AUUCCAGCUCCAAUAGCGUAUAUUAAAGUUGUUGCGGUAAAAAAGCUCGUAGUUGGAUUUCUGUUGAGAACGACCGGUCCACACAACGUGUGCGCAUCUGGUUCGGUCUCGGCAUCCUCUCGAAAGACGACUCUGCGCUUGAUUGCGUGGAUCGGAUUCCGGGACUUUUACUUUGAGGAAAUUAGAGUGUUCACGGCAGGCUAUCGCCAGGAUACAUUAGCAUGGAAUAAUACUAUAGGAUCUUGAUCCUAUUUUGUUGGUUUCUAGGAGCAAGAUAAUGAUUAAUAGGGACAAUUGGGGGCAUUCGUAUCAACACGUCAGAGGUGGAAUUCUUGGAUUGUGUUGCGACGAACUACUGCGAAAGCAUUUGCCAAGGAUGUUUUCAUCG